CUACGGGUCGCAGCAGUUAGGCAUAAUCUACAAUGCACGCAAGUGUGAUAGUUUGAGCCAGAGUGCUUCUCAAUGAGAAGCUUUUGUGGAAUGUAAAAAGUUCUACGAAUAAGGACUGGGUAAGACUAGUGCCAGCCGCCGCGGUAAUACUAGCGGUCCAAGUCGCAGCCAUUUUUAUUGGGUCUAAAACAUCCGUAGCUUGCUUGGCAAGUUCCUUGUGAAAUCCUGUGUCUCAAACACAGGGCGUGCAAGGAGUACUACCAAGCUAGAGACUGGGAGACGUAAGAAGUACGUUCGGAGUAGCGGUAAAAUGUUUUAAUCCUGAGCGGACUCACAAUAGCGAAGGCAUCUUACGAGAACAGUUCUGACAGUCAGGGAUGAAGGCUAGGGGCGCAAAACGGAUUAGAUACCCGUGUAGUC
rnacentral:rRNA from 1 species